AAGUCUGGUAGUGCGAGGCACGUCGAAUUGCAAAUUCGAAGACGCCAUUUCAUUUCUUGGCCCGGACU
rnacentral:tRNA from 1 species